GAUAAACGCUAGCGGCAGGCCUAACACAUGCAAGUCGAGCGGUAACACGGUGUAGCAAUAUAUUGGUGACGAGCGGCGGACGGGUGAGUAACGCGUAUGCAACCUACCCUUUACACAGGGAUAGCUUUCCGAAAGGAGAAUUAAUACCUGAUAGUACUAGAAACGGGCAUCCGAGAAAAGUUAAAGAUUUAUUGGUAAAGGAUGGGCAUGCGUAGCAUUAGUUAGUUGGUGAGGUAACGGCUCACCAAGACGAUGAUGCUUAGGGGUUCUAAAAGGAAGAUCCCCCACAUCGGUACUGAGACACGGACCGAACUCC
rnacentral:rRNA from 1 species